AUUUCAGCUUUAUUCACUUUUUUAGACACACUACUAUUAUUCUGAACACAACUGUAUGUCUGUGAAGUAUUGGCAGCUUGUAGAUGGUCUCGAGCAGUCACCUGAAUCCCACAUCUCCAACAGCCGAGAGCAGCUGGUUGUCCAGUCCAAUAAACUGUUUUAUUUUGGUUUCUUACUAUCCAUAAUGUAAGGCUUUUCUUUGCUGCGGUUAUGGAUGGAUGCACAAGAGCCAGUUUGCUAGUUGCAGCAUUAGCAAGUUUGUAGUGCAGUUCUCAGGUGUUGAAUGAGGUUUUUGGUGUUUUUUUGCUGCCAAUCCCCCAUGACCAAUUUUGUUUGAACAUGGCAGAUUUAUCGGAGCAUCCGUACUAAAAAUACCACUAAAAUUUUCCCCCUCUCCAGGGAUACAACUGGUGUCAUGAUAGGAAUGUUGUGACCAUCUUCAGUGCGCCAAACUACUGCUAUCGCUGUGGCAACCAAGCCGCCAUCAUGGAACUGGAUGAUACUCUAAAAUACUCUUUCCUGCAGUUUGACCCUGCACCUCGCCGUGGGGAGCCCCACGUCACCCGACGCACCCCAGACUACUUCCUAUAAAUCCCCUACCGAUGACAUUUGUAUGUGUAAAUGUGUGUAUAUGUAUGAGCAGGGUUACAACAUGAAAGUACUAACAUGGACCAAAAUGUGCCAUACUAGCGGUAAGCAUUUAGUGCACACAUACAGUUUGCCCAGUGUCUCAGUACUGCAACAACAUGCCGCAUUUAUCCUUCAGCUCAAGUCUCAAAAGCCUGCUGUAUACGAUGGUAGUAAUGGGUUUCUUUUUUUCCCCUUUUUUUCGGGUGGGUGGGGGGGGGGUGUUCCUUGAACUGUACAUUGAAGAGGACUUGCGUGACUUGCUUUGCUUAUUUCAAAUUUACUGGACAAAAUACAUUUUUGCGACAAUUAGCAAUGCCAGGCAUGUGAAAUAUGGUAUUUUUAAUGUACAAGCUUACCGACCCCCCACACUUUCCUCCAGCGGACACUAUCCUGUUAUGAAUGCAUAGUUGAAGGGAGAAACCUCUUCCUCUUCUGGAGUGUAUGCUGUCAUGUAAAGAGCCCUCCCUCCCUCCCCCUCUCACCCACCCACUGUUAAAUCUUACUGUUUACUGUACUUUUUUCUGUAUAUUUGUCAUGAAGUGAUUGCAUCUUCUUUGGUGUAUUUGAACCAAUUAAAGUACUUUUGAUCAUUAA